rnacentral:rRNA from 1 species
GAUGAACGCUGGCGGCGUGCUUAACACAUGCAAGUCGAACGAUGAAGCCCAGCUUGCUGGGUGGAUUAGUGGCGAACGGGUGAGUAACACGUGAGUAACCUGCCCUUGACUCUGGGAUAAGCCUGGGAAACUGGGUCUAAUACUGGAUAUGACUUCUCAUCGCAUGGUGGGGGGUGGAAAGAUUUAUUGGUCUUGGAUGGACUCGCGGCCUAUCAGCUUGUUGGUGAGGUAAUGGCUCACCAAGGCGACGACGGGUAGCCGGCCUGAGAGGGUGACCGGCCACACUGGGACUGAGACACGGCCCAGACUCCUACGGGAGGCAGCAGUGGGGAAUAUUGCACAAUGGGCGCAAGCCUGAUGCAGCGACGCCGCGUGAGGGAUGACGGCCUUCGGGUUGUAAACCUCUUUCAGUAGGGAAGAAGCGAGAGUGACGGUACCUGCAGAAGAAGCGCCGGCUAACUACGUG